UCUUUAGUUCAGUUCGAGUUCGGCGUGCAGCCGGUUCGUAUCCGUGUGCUUUGCGUUCGAUUUCCGCCCGAUCGGCGCUCAUCUCGUCUCCGCGACUCGUGUCGAUACGUUGUCGAUCUGCACAGUGAUUUCGCGUCUUCCUCCAAUUUGGAACGCGGUCACCGGGACGAAUUUCCGAAACUUGGUACAUACUUCGUUUUGCAGGGAACUCGCGAGAAUCGAUUAAUCAGGUGUCGAACGUUGAUCGAUAUAAUCGUGCGAAAGUAAGAAAGUAAUAAAGUGAACGAUCAUGGUGUGACUCGGGUGACUGGAUUGAUCUUUUCGGAAAGAUCGACGAAGUUGAUCGGUGGUUGUGUGGUGAUUGGUUUUGGUGGUGGUGCUUGAUACGCUCUUGGGAGUCGGAAGCCCGUUGGCACCUGGGCCUCGUUUACGUCGGUUUACUCAUGCUGGGAGUUCUGAAGCGGCGCUGGAAGCCAUCGAAAAG